GGCGCUGCGCGAGGACAUCGACGCGCUGCAGGGCGAGCUGGACACGCUGGGCAUCCUGGGCGUGGAGCUGGUGUCCUCCUGYGGAGACCCCGACAAGCCCGACGUCACCCGGAGCCUGGAUGAGCUCUACUCCUCGUGGCACGGGCUGAGCAAGGUGUGGACCGAGCGGCACGGGCGCCUCGAGGAGCAGCUCCA